GUCGAGAUCCCGACCUCGAUCUAAAAUUGAAGUAACAGCUCUGAAUCCUGAGCUCGGCCUCGAUCUGAGAUUGGCAGAGUUGAAGAAAUUAAAGAAGAAUGGUUCUUUCCUCUCAAGCCCCACCGAAGUCGGGGUUGGAGCCCUAAACCCGAACACAGCAACCCAGCUGCACUCAACUGCACCGUUUCUGACUCUCUCCAUGACUCCGUGUCUUCGUCUCUGCCGUUUCUGACUCUCCGUCUCCGCCUCUCCGGUCUCCCAUCUCCGAGUCUCCGUCUCCGAGCUCCAGAUUGGACGGUCUGGAGGUUGAAAUGUUUUUCUUGGCGAUUUGGUGAUUGAGGAUUUGGCAAGCAUGGCAGAAGUACAUUGAUAUUGUUAGUGAGCUAUAUCGAUCCUACUUGGACUGAUGGUUUGAUUGUGAAGAGCAAAGGUGGAGAUGGUAGCUCGAUUGGUAAUGAUUCAAAAAGAUCAAUGGGACCGGUUUUCAGCACUUCUGUUUAUGAGGAGGGAUCUGAAAAU